rnacentral:rRNA from 1 species
AGAGUUUGAUCCUGGCUCAGAGCGAACGCUGGCGGCAGGCCUAACACAUGCAAGUCGAACGGACCCUUCGGGGUUAGUGGCGGACGGGUGAGUAACACGGGGAACGUGCCUUUAGGUUCGGAAUAGCUCCUGGAAACGGGUGGUAAUGCCGAAUGUGCCCUUCGGGGGAAAGAUUUAUCGCCUUUAGAGCGGCCCGCGUCUGAUUAGCUUGUUGGUGAAGUAAUGGCUCACCAAGGCUACGAUCAGUAGCUGGUCUGAGAGGAUGACCAGCCACAUUGGGACUGAGACACGGCCCAAACUCCUACGGGAGGCAGCAGUGGGGAAUCUUGCGCAAUGGGCGAAAGCCUGACGCAGCCAUGCCGCGUGGAUGAUGAAGGUCUUAGGAUUGUAAAAUCCUUUCACCGGUGAAGAUAAUGACUGUAGCCGGAGAAGAAGCCCCGGCUAACUUCGUGCCAGCAGCCGCGGUAAUACGAAGGGGGCUAGCGUUGCUCGGAAUUACUGGGCGUAAAGGGAGCGUAGGCGGACAUUUAAGUCAGGGGUGAAAUCCCAGAGCUCAACUCUGGAACUGCCUUUGAUACUGGGUGUCUUGAGUGUGAUAGAGGUAUGUGGAACUCCGAGUGUAGAGGUGAAAUUCGUAGAUAUUCGGAAGAACACCAGUGGCGAAGGCGACAUACUGAAUCAUUACUGACGCUGAGGCUCGAAAGCGUGGGGAGCAAACAGGAUUAGAUACCCUGGUAGUCC